GGGAACUCAUGACCUUAUGACCUGGGCUACACACGUGCUACAAUGGACAGAACAAAGGGCAGCGAAACCGCGAGGUUAAGCCAAUCCCACAAAUCUGUUCUCAGUUCGGAUCGCAGUCUGCAACUCGACUGCGUGAAGCUGGAAUCGCUAGUAAUCGCGGAUCAGCAUGCCGCGGUGAAUACGUUCCCGGGCCUUGUACACACCGCCCGUCACACCACGAGAGUUUGUAACACCCGAAGUCGGUGAGGUAACCUUUUAGGAGCCAGCCGCCGAAGGUGGGACAGAUGAUUGGGGUGAAGUCGUAACAAGGUAGCCGUAUCGGAAGGUGCGGUUGGAUCACCUCCACA
rnacentral:rRNA from 1 species